AGGAGAAGGAAGAGCAGUUAUUAUUGGAGGCAUAUUGGGUGCUUUUGAACAGAAUAGACUUUAGAAGAGACAAUCAAACCCAGAUGGGCCUUUUGGGCUGUUCUGUGUGGAUGUGCUAGGGUGACUUGUCUUAAAUGAAUAUUUUGCUAUUUUGCUCCAGGGAUGGUGACAAUUGUACUAUCUCUGAACUUGUCUGUUGUGGUGCUGCUUGGGCUCCUUCUUGGAGGCCCUCAAUUUACAGGAGGGGGAGGUCUGUGAUGACAAGCGCCAGCCAUGGUGAUUUUAACCCACAAAGCCAGCAUCUGGUGAUGGCAGCCCUCUUCUGGCUUACUCGGUCCUCUGAACUACAGUUAGCUGUUUAAAUGGCUUUCUUCUCAUUCCUGAAGCAUUAUGUGGAUUUCCUAUGCUCAGAUAUUGAUUUCAGAUCUCAUCCAGGAUCCUCAGCAAGAGUCAAAGAUCUGAUGCAAUCAGCAUCAUGUUAUCUGCAAACAGAGGUUGGGUCCAAAAGACCUCCCAGAGGAAAUCCUUCUUCUUCCAAGAGAGAGGUAAACACUGUAGCAAUGCUGAGUUCUAUAAGAAAUCUCAAGACACAUGGAGUAGAUGGAGUCCUUGUGGAGAACCUGAAGGAAGAGAUGAAUGGGAGUUAAAAGAUGUGAAGACUUCCAUGUGUCCAGUCUUAAUCAUUAGGAAGAGUAGUCAUAUUGGUAAGGCCAUUGAUCCAUUGAAGUAGUC
rnacentral:lncRNA from 1 species